rnacentral:rRNA from 1 species
GACGAACGCUGGCGGCGUGCUUAACACGUGCAAGUCGAACGGAAAGGCCCUGCUUUUGUGGGGUGCUCGAGUGGCGAACGCGUGAGUAACACGUGAGUAACCUGCCCUUGACUGUGGGGUAACUUCAGGAAACUCGGGCGAAUACCGCAUAUAAACUCCUUAUGCAUGGGUGUGGUGGGAAAGUUUCGGCGGUUGGGGAUGGACGCGCGGCUUAUCAGCGUGUUGGUGGGGUAGUGGCUUACCAAGGCUUUGACGGGUAGCCGGCCUGAGAGGGUGACCGGGCACAUUGGGACUGAGAUACCGACCAGAGUGCAACGGGAGGCAGCAGUGGGAAACAUUGCAAAAUAGGCGGCAGCAUGAUGCAGGGAUGCCGGGUGCGGGAUGACGGCCUUUGGGUUGUAAAGCGCUUUGGACUGUGACGCAGAGCGAGUGACGGUAAUGAGUCAAAAAGCGACGGCUAACUACGUG